UUUAAAACAAUGUGUUUGUGUGUAUAUAUAUCAAUGUUUAUUCAACAAGGUUAACCAAUGAAUUAAUGUUAACUGUAAAGCUUUGAAAUUGUUUGAUGUCUCAUCUAGUUCGGGCCUGGGCUUGUGGCGUUGUUUUCUACCAUUUAUAGACCCAUGGGCUUUCUUUGGACAGACUUCCUAUUUGUAUAGCUUUACAAGCUUAGAUCUAUAUAAAUCAUUCACCCUGGAAAGGAGCCGAAUUUUUCUUUUGCAGAGCUACAAUUUGGUGGCGAACAUUUUGUUGGCAAGCUAAAAAAAUUUCUUUCAGUAGCAAGCCAAAAAUUCCUUUCAACAACACCUCAGCACAUUAUCUUGACGACGAGAUACAAUUUUCCUGAUGCAACUCCUCGACGGAAGUCAAAUUUCUCUUUCAGCCACACGUCGACAGCAAACUGAAAUUUUUUUCUUUCAGCAAUACCUUGAAAAUGAGCAAAUUAUUUUUUUAGAGACACUUCGGCGACGAGGAAUUUUUCUUAACAGCUACUAUCUAGCGAUGUGCCGAAAUUUUCUUUUCCAACCACACCUUGGCGAUGAGCCAAAAAAUUCCUUUACAACCACACUUUGUUGACAGGCUAGAGCGCAAUGACAGGGUGCAAUGAGUACUUUUGAUGCUAUGAUGAGCACACUUUAUCAUUUUGAUAGCAAGCCAAGCAGAUAAUGCGAUGAGGACUUUUGAUAUCAUGCGACAAGCAAUUUACCAUCUUUACAAAAUUUUUUUUUUUUUU